ACGAACGCUGGCGGCGUGCCUAAUACAUGCAAGUCGAGCGAAGUUUUUCUGGUGCUUGCACCGGAAAAACUUAGCGGCGAACGGGUGAGUAACACGUAAAGAACCUGCCUCAUAGACUGGGACAACUAUUGGAAACGAUAGCUAAUACCGGAUAAUAGCAUUAACUGCAUGGUUGAUGUUUAAAAGUUGGUUUUGCUAACACUAUGAGAUGGCUUUGCGGUGCAUUAGCUAGUUGGUGGGGUAAAGGCCUACCAAGGCGACGAUGCAUAGCCGACCUGAGAGGGUGAUCGGCCGCACUGGGACUGAGACACGGCCCAGACUCCUACGGGAGGCAGCAGUAGGGAAUCUUCCGCAAUGGGCGAAAGCCUGACGGAGCAACGCCGCGUGAGUGAAGAAGGAUUUCGGUUCGUAAAGCUCUGUUGUUAGGGAAGAAUGAUUGUGUAGUAACUAUACACAGUAGAGACGGUACCUAACCAGAAAGCCACGGCUAACUACGUG
rnacentral:rRNA from 1 species